GAUGAACGCUGGCGGUGUGCCUAACACAUGCAAGUCGAGCGAACGGACGAGAAGUUCGCUUCCCUGAUGUUAGCGGGGGACGGGUGAGUAAUACGUGCAUAAUAAACCUAUAAGACUGGGGUAACAUCGUGAAAAAAGCGAUAAUAAUGGCUAAUAUUUCGAACCGUAUGGUUCAAAAGUGCAUGACGGCCUUGCCGACACUUUUAGCCGGAUCCGCGUUGCCUUAGUUAGUUGGUAAGGUAACGGCAUACCAAGGCAACGAUGCAUAGCCGACCUGAGAGGGUGAUCGGCCACAGUGGAACUGAGACACGGUCCAGACUCCUACGGGAGGCAGCAGUAGGGAAUCUUGCGCAAUGGGCGAAAGCCUGACGAAGCCACACCGCGUGAGUGAAGAAGGGCUUCGGAUCGUAAAACUCUGUUGUUGGGAAAGAACAGAUGUGUGAUUAAAUGAGGACAUCGUGACGGUACCAAAAGAGAAAGCCGCGGCUAACUACGUG
rnacentral:rRNA from 1 species